rnacentral:ncRNA from 1 species
UUGAGCUGUGUGCGGGGAAACUCGCGUGCACAGUUCUUAGAGGGCUGCUCCUUAGUAAUGGGGAGUGGCUACUCGAC